GUGCUGGCUUUGGCAGCACAUAUACUAAAAUUAGACUGAUACAGAGAAAAUUAGCACGGCCCCUGAGCAAGGACGACUCACAAAUUCUUGAUGCAUUCCAUAUAUUU